CUCAAAUAAAUAGGUUAUUAAUAUUCAUGGUAUUUGUAUUUCAUGUAAUUGAAAUAAAUAUGGCGGUGUUUUAUAUUUUUGGGAAUCUUGUUGUAUAAAGUAGAUAUUACACAAUAAAUCUUACCUUUAAUUUGUAAUUUUAUGUAUUGCUGUUUAAUUUUUAUUUUUGUUUGUUUUAUGAAAAAUUAAAAUUUAAUUAAAUUUUAAGUUAAAAUAAUUCAAGUCAAAAUGUAGAGUUUUAAUGGAAACAAUGAGUUGCUGUUAUUUUGUUAAUUUGUUAUAGUAAGAAAGUGAAUAAAACUUUAUUAUAGGAGGAUUAAAAAGUAAAUUAUAAUAAAUAAAGUAUGGUUGAAAUAUUAUUAAACAUGU
rnacentral:rRNA from 1 species